UACAGAGGGUGCGAGCGUUGUUCGGAAUCAUUGGGCGUAAAGGGUGCGUAGGUGGCCAUACAAGUCAGUUGUGAAAGCCCCGGGCUCAACCCGGGAAGUGCUUCUGAUACUGUUUGGCUUGAGUACUAGAGAGGUGAGUAGAAUUCCAGGUGUAGUGGUGAAAUACGUAGAUAUCUGGAGGAAUACCGGUGGCGAAGGCGGCUCACUGGCUAAGUACUGACACUGAAGCACGAAAGCGUGGGGAUCAAACAGG
rnacentral:rRNA from 1 species